rnacentral:pre_miRNA from 1 species
AGAGAGAUAGCUGGGUUAAAUGGUGGUUCCAUUCCCAGAUUUCCAAGGAAUCUCCAUACUGCUUUCCAUAUUGGCUGCACCAAUUUGCAGUCCCACCAGCAAU